GAUGAACGCUGGCGGCGUGCCUAAUACAUGCAAGUCGAGCGAACAGACGAGGAGCUUUCUCCUCUGACGUUAGCGGCGGACGGGUGAGUAACACGUGGAUAACCUACCUAUAAGACUUGGAUAACUUCGGGAAGCCGGUUCUAAUACCGGAUCAUAUAUUCUACCGCAUGGUUCAAUAGUUAAAGACGCUUUUGCUGUCACUUUUAGAUGGAUUCGGGUUGGAUUAGUUAGUUGGUAAGGUAACGGCUUACCAAGGAUACGAUGCGUAGCCGAACUGAGAGGGUGAUCGGCCACACUGGAACUGAGACACGGUCCAGAAUCCUAAGGGAGGCAGCAGUAGGGAAUAUUUCCCAAUUGGCCAAAGCCUUAUCCAGCCAAACCGCGUUAGUGAAUAAGGUCUUCGGGUUGUAAAACCCUGUUAUUAGGAAAGAAAAAAAUUAUAAUAAAACAAUCCUGUUCUUACCGUACCCAAAUAAGAAGCCCCGGCUAACUUCCUU
rnacentral:rRNA from 1 species